UCUGGUAAAACAUUAGAAUUUGCUAGCUGAAAUGCUCUUGCUGCGUUCAGGGCUACUUGAAAAAUAUUAGUGCUGAUAUUAGGGCAGUUUUGUGCAAAGAAAUGCACAGGCUUUGUAAUGCUUGGUCCCAGCCUUUGGGACGUGUGGAAUUCAAUGGGGUAGGCGAUGUCUGUGAAUAUGGAUGCCUGCAUUGCCGUAGAGAGCAUAUCAAUUCUUGAGAAGCUCCAUUCUAAAGGUGAGGAUGGAAGUUUCAAUUGUGGGUAUUCAAGCAUUAGAGGUAGAAGAAGACCAGAUAGGGAAGACUUCUAUGACAUCAAAUCAAAUCAUCAACAUUUUAUGAUAAACAAAUAAACUUGUUUACGUUUGAAAUUUACCCGUUUGAAAUUGUUUACAUUUUAAAUUGGAAAUAUUUUUUUGAUGGGAAAAAGGUCUUCACCGCCGGUUCGUGUCUUCAACCGACGGUGUUGAUGUCUCCAUCA